rnacentral:tRNA from 2 species
GUCCUCAUCGUCUAGUCUGGUUAGGACGUUACAUUGUGGCUGUGGAGGCAGCUGUUCGAAUCAGCUUGGGGACA